GGUUCGAUGGCGUAGUUGGUUAUCGCAUCUGUCUAACAAUAGAAAGUUGCACAGAAGGUCCCCAGUUCGAGCUUGGGUCGAAUCA